rnacentral:rRNA from 1 species
UGGGAACGUACCCUUUGGUUCGGAACAACUCCGGGAAACUGGAGCUAAUACCGGAUAAGCCCUUUGGGGGAAAGAUUUAUCGCCGAAGGAUCGGCCCGCGUCGGAUUAGCUAGUUGGUGGGGUAACGGCCCACCAAGGUGACGAUCCGUAGCUGGUCUGAGAGGAUGAUCAGCCACACUGGGACUGAGACACGGCCCAGACUCCUACGGGAGGCAG